CCCCAGGUAGCUCAGUCGGAAGAGCAAGCAGAGAACAUAUCUCUGUUGACGCUGGUUCGAGUCCAUUAUUGGGGG